rnacentral:piRNA from 1 species
UAGCAAGAGCAGAUGCCGCCACAAAUGU